UGGAGACAGGGCCAAGGGGAGCCGACCCCAGGCUCUCUCAUCAGGUCCACACAGCGGCCCAACCCUGGGUCAGAUCCUCUGCGAGUGGUCAGAGCAGACGGUCCUCUUCCUCACAGAGAAAUGCCUGUGACCCUGGCCCAUCGGGACAUCCUGGCAGGUGCGGUUCACUACGCGUGGGCUAGAGGGUCCUCCUCCCCUGACUCCACCCAGGGCUGCAGAACGGAAUCCGCCCCAACUCCGGGAACAAGCCUCUCCGUGGUGGCUCGGGAAAGCAACUCUAAGCCCUGCCCUGGCCCCUGCCUGCUGAGCUCCUAGCUCAGUGGCCUCUGCGUGGCUGGUGAUGCCAGUGGUGAGAGUUCCUGAGCCCUCAGGGCUGGCCGUGCCUUGGGAACCACAAGGAAGGUGGCUGGGGAGACAGCACACCCAGGCCUGGGGCCACCUCCAGCCAGGGAGUUGGGGGCGGGCCCUGAGCUCUGCUUCGGGGGCCCCAAGCCAGGCUGUCUGGUAUGUCCUCAGCCCUGCCUGUCCAGCGGGCCUGGGCAGAUGGCACUGGUGUGGACAGGGGCUAGGAAGAGCCAGGAGGCGCUGGAGAAACAGCCCAGGGGAGGCCUGGAGGGAGAGAAAGACGUGGCAGCCUCGUCCGUCAGGGCCAGCGGGCAGCGGCCC